rnacentral:rRNA from 3 species
CCCAGACAGCCAGGAUGUUGGCUUAGAAGCAGCCAUCAUUUAAAGAAAGCGUAAUAGCUCACUGGUCGAGUCGGCCUGCGCGGAAGAUGUAACGGGGCUAAACCAUGCACCGAAGCUGCGGCAGCGAACGUAUCACUUAAAGCGAUUCAGCGGGUUACGAUUGACGGAGCGAAGCGACGUCAAAGCGUAUACAAAGUCGAGUCGGUUUAAGGAUACGUUCGUUGGGUAGGGGAGCGUUCUGUAAGCCCGUGAAGGUGGCCUGUGAGGGUUGCUGGAGGUAUCAGAAGUGCGAAUGCUGACAUAAGUAACGAUAAAGCGGGUGAAAAGCCCGCUCGCCGGAAGACCAAGGGUUCCUGUCCAACGUUAAUCGGGGCAGGGUGAGUCGACCCCUAAGGCGAGGCCGAAAGGCGUAGUCGAUGGGAAACGGGUUAAUAUUCCCGUACUUGGUGUUACUGCGAAGGGGGGACGGAGAAGGCUAUGUUGGCCGGGCGACGGUUGUCCCGGUUUAAGCGUGUAGGUGUGUGUUCCAGGUAAAUCCGGUUCACUUUAACACUGAGGCGUGACGACGAGGCACUACGGUGCUGAAGCAACAAAUGCCCUGCUUCCAGGAAAAGCCUCUAAGCAUCAGGUAACACGAAAUCGUACCCCAAACCGACACAGGUGGUCAGGUAGAGAAUACCAAGGCGCUUGAGAGAACUCGGGUGAAGGAACUAGGCAAAAUGGUGCCGUAACUUCGGGAGAAGGCACGCUGACACGUAGGUGA